CCUACGGGCAGCAGCAGUGGGGGAUAUUGCACAAUGGGGGGAACCCUGAUGCAGCGACGCCGCGGGGGUGAAGGAGUGCUUCGGCAUGUAAAGCCCUAUCGGCAGGGAAGAAGCAAGACGGUACCUGACUAAGAAGCCCCGGCUAACUACGUGCCAGCAGCCGCGGUAAUACGUAGGGGGCGAGCGUUAUCCGGAUUCACUGGGUGUAAAGGGAGCGUAGACGGCCAUGCAAGCCAGGGGUGAAAGCCCGGGGCCCAACCCCGGGACUGCCCUUGGAACUGUGCGGCUAGAGUGCGGGAGGGGCAGGCGGAAUUCCUGGUGUAGCGGUGAAAUGCGUAGAUAUCAGGAGGAACACCGGCGGCGAAGGCGGCCUGCUGGACUGCGACUGACAUUGAGGCUCGAAAGCGUGGGGAGCGAACAGGAUUAGAUACCCUAGUAGUC
rnacentral:rRNA from 1 species